rnacentral:rRNA from 1 species
CACGCAUGACACACUGCAUAUCAAUAAGCGGAGGAAAAGAAACUAACAAGGAUUCCCCUAGUAACGGCGAGUGAAGCGGGAAGAGCUCAAAUUUGAAAUCUUAAAGGGUUUCCCUUUACGAAUUGUAGUUUAAAGAAGUGUUUUCUGUUGGAGUUUCGGUAAAAGUUCUUUGGAAUAGGACAUCAUAGAGGGUGAGAAUCCCGUAUUUGACCGUUACUUUCCAGCUGUGUGAUACACUUUCAAAGAGUCGGAUUGUUUGGGAAUGCAGUCCAAGAUGGGUGGUAAAUUUCAUCUAAAGCUAAAUAUUGGCGAGAGACCGAUAGCGAACAAGUACCGUGAGGGAAAGAUGAAAAGAACUUUGAAAAGAGAGUUAAACAGUACGUGAAAUUGUCAAAAGGGAAGCGUUUGACACCAGUGUUGUUUAGUUGAAAAUCAAUUCAAUAGUUUUUGAUUUUAAGUAGUAUUGACUUCAUCAGCUUGCUGCUCUCUUUUCAGGAAAUUAUUGAAUGCACUUUUCAGUUAACAAGUCUACAUCAAUUUCUUUUGUUGUAAAAGGGUAAGAGGAAGGUGGCUUAGCGUUUCGGCGUCAAGUGUUUAUAGCCUUUUAUCCUCUGCAAUCGGAGAGAUUGAGGUACUGCAGCGUAGAUCCUUCGGGGUUAGAUACACUUGGUGCUAAGCUAUAGCCUUGUAUAGACAACUUGUUGACUAUGCUCAGUCAUGUAGCUUACUCGCUUGAUGCUAUUUUAACCUACGCUUAGGAUGUUGAUCUACAGAGCGAGAGU